AUGUUAGCGGCGGACGGGUGAGUAACACGUGGGUAACCUACCUAUAAGACUGGGAUAACUCCGGGAAACCGGGGCUAAUACCGGAUAAUAUUUUGAACCGCAUGGUUCGAUAGUGAAAGACGGUUUCGGCUGUCACUUAUAGAUGGACCCGCGCCGUAUUAGCUAGUUGGUAAGGUAACGGCUUACCAAGGCGACGAUACGUAGCCGACCUGAGAGGGUGAUCGGCCACACUGGAACUGAGACACGGUCCAGACUCCUACGGGAGGCAGCAGCU
rnacentral:rRNA from 1 species